UUCUCCUUCCAUGCAAAGUGCACAACCAGGUGCACUGUUCAAAGUUCUGCCAACUGGGAAGAUUUCCCUUCACCCCUGUCCUUCAGGGAUGUCCUAGAAAGGAGCUGUAGUACUGCAGCUGUCCACUUUCGGGUGGUGUCUGCAUAUCAUGCAGAGCCAUCUGUGAACCAUGCCCUAGUCUUCACUUCCUCUGACCAUCAUAGGGAAUGCUCCAUGAGGUCAUCAGUGCAGGCUAGGGGAGAAAAGGCAUGGUGGCAGGAGUGGAGACCAUGGACAUUUGAGCCACUUCCUCAUGCAACUUACUUAUGCCUUCAGGAUCUGCUCGAGCCCAAUCACAUAUAUACCACUUCCAUUUGAUGAUGAAAUGCUGCUGUGCAUGACCCACUUUAUGGCUAGAUGGGUCAGAAAGCACCCAGUUAAUGAUAGGUAGUUCAGGUCACAUGGUGAUUUGAUGAUCCAUAGUCAAACAAGUUUCCACCAAAGACCAGUAAUAGGCCCAGAGCUGUCUCUCAAAAGGAGAGUAGUUAUCUGCAGAAGAUGGCAGGGCCUUGCUCCAAAAUCCUAGAGGCCUCUGCUCUAGGCCUCACCUAUGGAGGCCUACCAAAGGCUCCAGACAGCAUCCCUGUCUGCCACUGACACCUCAAGCACCACUGGAUUUGCUGGGUCAUAUGGCCUAAGUGGCAGAGCAGCUUCACAGCAGCCUGGACCUGUUGCAGAGCCUUCUCCUGUUUGUGACCCCACUCCUGGUACCAAAAUCUGUAUUAGUCAGGGUUCUGUAGAGGGAAAGAAAUGAUAGGAUAUAUAUGAGAGUUUAUUAAGUAUUAACUUACAAGAUAACAAGCUUCCACAAUAGGCUGUCUGCAAGCUGAGGAGCAAGGAGAGCCUGUCUGAGUCCCAAAACUGAAGAACUUGGAGUCCGAUGUUCAAGGGCAGGAGGCAUCCAGCACAGGAGAAAGAUGUACACUGGGAGGAUAUGCCAGUCUCUCCUUUUCAUGUUUUUCUACCUGCUUUAUAUUCCCUGGCAGCUGAUUAUAUUGUGCCCACCAGAUGAAGGAUGGAUCUGCCUCCCCCAGCCCACUGACUCAAAUGUUAUUCUCCUUUGGCAACACCCUCACAGACACACCCAGGAUCAAUACUUUGUAUCCUUCAAUCCAAUCAAGUUGACACUCAGUAUUAACCAUCACAGCAUCUAUAUGUUUCUUUCCAGAUGUGCAUUUUAUCUCUUUUUAAAAGGUUACUAGAAAGUUGCUGCAGAAGUAUCUACUGGGUUCUAAGAUAUAACACAUAAUUUGUAUCUCAAUGUAGUGUUUUUCCCAUAAAAGGAAAAAAUCUUUAAAACAAUUUCAAUACAUAUGUAACAAAAAAUUCUUAUAUUUUAAAAGUUCUUACAAAUUUUAAGUAUUUAUUGACCUGUACCUAUGAACAUGCAAAUAAGUUAUAUAUAUAGUUAACUUAAGUUAUAUAUAUAGUUAUAUAUAUAUAACUUAAUAACUAUAUAUAUAGCUUAAUAAGUUGUAUAUAAGUUAUAUAUAGUUAUAUAUAACUUAUUAAGUUAUAUAAUAGUUAUAUAUAACUUAUUAAGUUAUAUAAUAGUUAUAUAUAACUUAUUAAGUUAUAUAAUAGUUAUAUAUAACUUAUUAAGUUAUAUAUAGUUAUAUAUAACUUAAUAAGUUAUAUAAUAGUUAUAUAUAACUUAUUAAGUUAUAUAAUAGUUAUAUAUAACUUAUUAAGUUAUAUAUAAUAGUUAUAUAUAACUUAUUAAGUUAUAUAAUAGUUAUAUAUCUUAUUAAGUUAUAUAAUAGUUAUAUAUAGUUAUAUACAUAGUUAUUA
rnacentral:lncRNA from 1 species